UACGGGGGGGGCAAGCGUUGUUCGGAAUUACUGGGCGUAAAGGGCUCGUAGGUGGCCAACUAAGUCAGACGUGAAAUCCCUCGGCUUAACCGGGGAACUGCGUCUGAUACUGGCAGGCUUGAAUCCGGGAGAGGGAUGUGGAAUUCCAGGUGUAGCGGUGAAAUGCGUAGAUAUCUGGAGGAACACCGGUGGCGAAGGCGGCAUCCUGGACCAACACUGACGCUGAGUGAGCGAAAGCCAGGGGAGCAAACGGG
rnacentral:rRNA from 1 species